UACGUAGGCAGCGAGCGUUGUUCGGAAUUACUGGGCGUAAAGAGUGUGUAGGCGGUGCUCUAAGUUCGGUGUGAAAUCUCCCGGCUUAACUGGGAGGGUGCGCCGGAAACUGGAGUGCUCGAGCGUGGGAGAGGAAAGCGGAAUCCUGGUGUAGCGGUGAAAUGCGCAGAUAUCAGGAAGAACACCCGUGGCGAAGGCGGCUCUCUGGAACGCAACUGACGCUGAGACGCGAAAGCGUGGGGAGCAAACAGG
rnacentral:rRNA from 1 species